rnacentral:lncRNA from 1 species
UCUGCUCGCGGCGCCGCCUCCCGCUCCUCCCGCCGCCGCCGCCGCCGCCGCCGCCGCCGCCGCCGCCGCCGCCCUGAGUCACUGCCUGCGCAGCUCCGGCCGCUCGGCUCCGCGUCCGAGCCUCCUGGAACGAUAUUUGGAGUUCUUAAAAGAUGGCAGACAUUGACAACUUGCCUAAGGUAGUCAAAAGACGGGUGAAUGCUCUCAAGAAUCUUCAAGUUAAAUGUGCACAGAUAGAAGCCAAAUUCUAUGAGGAAGUUCAUGACCUUGAGAGAAAGUAUGCUGUUCUCUAUCAGCCUCUGUUUGAUAAGCGAUUUGAGAUCAUUAAUGCAAUUUAUGAACCUACAGAAGAAGAAUGUGAAUGGAAACCAGAUGAGGAAGAUGAAGUUUCGGAGGAGCUGAAAGAAAAGGCCAAGAUUGAAGAUGAGAAAAAGGAUGAAGAAAAAGAAGACCCUAAAGGAAUUCCUGAGUUUUGGUUGACAGUUUUUAAGAAUGUUGAUUUGCUCAGUGAUAUGGUUCAGGAACAUGACGAACCUAUUCUGAAGCACUUGAAAGAUAUUAAAGUGAAGUUUUCGGACGCUGGCCAGCCUAUGAGUUUUAUCUUAGAAUUUCACUUUGAACCCAACGAAUAUUUCACAAAUGAAGUGUUAACAAAGACUUACAGGAUGAGGUCAGAACCAGAUGAUUCUGAUCCCUUUUCUUUUGAUGGACCAGAAAUUAUGGGUUGUACAGGGUGCCAGAUAGAUUGGAAAAAAGGAAAGAAUGUUACUUUGAAAACCAUUAAGAAGAAGCAGAAACACAAGGGCCGUGGGACAGUUCGUACUGUGACUAAAACAGUUUCCAAUGAUUCUUUCUUUAACUUUUUUGCUCCUCCUGAAGUUCCUGAGAAUGGAGAUCUGGAUGACGAUGCUGAGGCAAUACUGGCUGCAGACUUUGAAAUUGGUCACUUUUUACGUGAGCGUAUAAUCCCAAGAUCAGUGUUAUACUUCACUGGAGAAGCUAUUGAGGACGAUGACGAUGACUAUGAUGAAGAAGGUGAAGAAGCUGAUGAGGAAGGGGAAGAAGAAGGAGAUGAGGAAAACGAUCCAGACUAUGACCCAAAGAAGGAUCAAAACCCAGCCGAGUGCAAGCAGCAGUGAGCAGUGACUGGCCUUGAGGACGGCCUCCCUGGCCUACCUUCUGCUUUCCUGGAAAAGAUGAAUAUACAUCAUUUGAACCUAUUUUGAGUUUUUCUGUUGUUUUGUUUGCCUAAUUUUGUUUUUAUAGCUUAAAAUAAAAAUAUGACACAGUCUU